AACUAGGAAAAUUUAACAAAAUACAUACAUAUAAAACUUACAGUCUGAAAAUUACAAAACAGUGUUGAAAGAAAUAAAAGAUCUCCAUAAAUGGAGAAAUAUUCCAUCUUCAUGGAGCAAGACUUAGCAUUUUAAGACGGCAAUAGUUGCCAAAUGAAUAUUCAGCUCAGUCCUCAUCAGAAUCCAAGCUGACUUCUUUGUAGAAAUUGACACACUCAUUCUAAAAUUCAAAUGGAAGAGCUAUAACAACCCUAAUAAGAACAAAGUAGGAGGAUUCACAUUUCCUGAUUUCAAAACUACAAAGCAACAGUAACUAAGACAGUGUAAAGGUCUUACCACAAGAAAAAGAUGUUUUAAAAAAAGAUAAUGGAUGUUAAUCAAACUUACUGUGGUAAUCAUUUCACAAUAUAUGUAAAUGACAUCAUUUUGUGGUACAUCUAAAACUUAUAUACUGCUGUAUGUCAAUUAUAUCUCAAAACUAGUGGGGAAAAAACAAUGUGGCUCUGGCACAAGGAUAGACAUUAAAAUCAAUGAAAUAGAGUUGAGAAUACAGAAACAAACCCAUAUUAUCAACAGUGAGCUAAUUUUCUACAAGGGUGACAAAGCCAUCCAAAGGGGAAACAAUUUUCUUUUCUAUAAAUGGUGCUAAGGAAAGAACAGCCAUUACAAUAAUAAAUGGUGCUGAGACAACUGGACAUCCAUGUGCAGAAGAAUAAACUUGGACCCUUACCUCAUACCAUUUAUAAAAAUUAACAAUUUUUUAUCAAUUUCAAUUUUAAACAAUUUGAUCAAAAUAGAUCAGACCUAAAUGUCAGAGCUAAAACUUAAAAAUCUUCAAAACAGGCACAAAUCUGUGUGGCUAUAAUUUAGGCAAUGGUUUCUUAGAUGUGACACCUACAGUAUAAAUGACAAAAGAAAA